CUACACUAUUAUGGAAAUGGUUCCCAUAAAUUAUGGAAACAAUUCCUAUAAUAAUAUAGUAAUGAUUCCUAUAGCAUCAUGGGAACCAUUCACAUAAUAUUAUAGGAAUAGUUCCAAUAAUUUUUCUUUCCGUGUAGUUAUUUUCAAAAAUUGUGUUAU